rnacentral:lncRNA from 1 species
UUCAAUCCACUGCCGAAUGAAAGAUGGUUGUCCUCUUUCCCUUUUUUGAAGAGUGUAAAAUUUGAAUUUUUCUGCCAACUCCUCUCACGUGGUGACACUCUUCAAAAUUCAAGAAUGACAUUCCUUCCAGCUUCUCUCUAUUGCAAAAGAAGACAAGACAAUUUCCUUUGGUGCCCCUUUUUUGGACUUGGCUUGUGGCAUUUUAUCUUAUGUAUCCA